UGUGUGUCCUUUCUUCUCCAUUAGUAUAAUGUCCUUUCUUCUCCAUUAGUAUAAUGGCGCUAAUAUUCAAUUACUUGAUCUUCCUGGCAUCAUCGAAGGAGCCUCACAAGGUAAAGGGAGGGGGCGGCAGGUGAUAUCGGUAGCGCGUACAGCUGAUGUUAUUCUAAUGAUGUUGGAUGCCAGCAAAGGAGAAAUUCAAAAGGCACUGUUAGAGAAGGAGUUGGAGAGUGUUGCUAUCAGACUGAAUAAAAGACCACCUGAUAUUUACUUUAAGGUAGAUAUACACAUAUAGCUUAUGCUAAUGCACACUAUAGUAACUUGUAUUAUUAUUAUUAUGGCCAAGCUUUUGGUCCAUAGCUUUGCUUUUAUUUUUUUCCCAAAUGGUCUUACAUUGCUGGCAGAA